rnacentral:rRNA from 1 species
CCUACGGGCGGCAGCAGUGAGGAAUAUUGGUCAAUGGACGAAAGUCUGAACCAGCCAAGUAGUGUGAAGGAUGACUGCCCUAUGGGUUGUAAACUUCUUUUAUAUGGGAAUAAAGUGUUCCACGUGUGGGAUUUUGUAUGUACCAUAUGAAUAAGGAUCGGCUAACUCCGUGCCAGCAGCCGCGGUAAUACGGAGGAUCCGAGCGUUAUCCGGAUUUAUUGGGUUUAAAGGGAGCGUAGGUGGAUUGUUAAGUCAGAUGUGAAAGUUUGGGGCUCAACCGUCAAACUGCAGUUGAAACUGGCAGUCUUGAGUACAGGAGAGGUGGGCGGAAUUCGUGGUGUAGCGGUGAAAUGCGUAGAUAUCACGAAGAACACCGAUUGCGAAGGCAGCUCACUGGACUGCAACUGACGCUGAGGCGCGAAAGUGUGGGUAGCAAACAGGAUUAGAUACCCCAGUAGUC